rnacentral:tRNA from 1 species
GCAGUGGUGGUUCGGUGGUAGAAUGCUCACCUUCCACGUGGGAGAUCUGGGUUCGGUUCCCAGCCAAUGCG